GUGCUAGAUGGGGAAUUAGCGGUGCCCUGUAACCUGCAAUCCGCUAUAGCAGGAUCGAUGCCGACGCCAGGCUGUUGCCGACCAGUUUGGAAGAAUUAAGCGGUGUUGAAGUUCUGGGCUGUGGCAAUGGAUAUAAGGUGAACCCCGUCAGGCCUGGAAAGGAGCAGCGGUAAGUCUGAAUAUUCAUGUGCCGACAGAAUCCGGAACGGAGCUGGCUGGUUGUUAUUGAACCGGGACCGGAACAGUCGAACGCUGGUGCACG
rnacentral:SRP_RNA from 1 species